rnacentral:rRNA from 1 species
CCUACGGGAGGCUGCAGUGGGGUAUAUUGGACAAUGGGGGGAACCCUGAUCCAGCCAUGCCGCGUGUGUGAAGAAGGCCCUCGGGUUGUAAAGCACUUUCAGUGAGGAAGAACGCCUGGUGGUUAAUACCCAUCAGGAAAGACAUCACUCACAGAAGAAGCACCGGCUAACUCCGUGCCAGCAGCCGCGGUAAUACGGAGGGUGCGAGCGUUAAUCGGAAUUACUGGGCGUAAAGCGCGCGUAGGUGGCUUGAUAAGCCGGUUGUGAAAGCCCCGGGCUCAACCUGGGAACGGCAUCCGGAACUGUCAAGCUAGAGUGCAGGAGAGGAAGGUAGAAUUCCCGGUGUAGCGGUGAAAUGCGUAGAGAUCGGGAGGAAUACCAGUGGCGAAGGCGGCCUUCUGGACUGACACUGACACUGAGGUGCGAAAGCGUGGGUAGCAAACAGGAUUAGAUACCCUAGUAGUC